CCUGGUGGCUCAGAGGGUAAAGCAUCUGCCUCCAAUGCAGGAGACCCAGGUUCGAUCCCUGGGUCAGGA
rnacentral:tRNA from 1 species